GAUUCAGAUAAACUGGGAGUGGUGCAUGCCUUUGUAUUGUGUUCCUGAACCUUGCUUUCUCCAUGUCAGGUCUUCUGUUCUUAGAAAAAACUCUUUUGUUGCAUCCACAUUAACCAUAUAUAUUUCUAUUUCCAUUUUUGAAUUGUAAUAUGUAGCUCAGUUUGGUGUGUCAAUUUCAGCUAGACUAAAUCAACCAUUCGGUCCUUCGUAAGUCGACUUUUCGUGCGUGUGUGUGUGUGUGUGUGUGUGUAGGAGGUUUAGCAGGCCUGACUUAAGACCGAACCCUGACGGUGUUUAGGCAUGGUCCGGUAUGCACUUCUUCACUUCUCUUGAUUUAUGUUUUUGUUUCAGUUCAUAUUAAAUCAAUAGUGUUUGCAACUUUACAUACAGGUUGGAGAGCUUAUUUCCAGCGUUGGAGGUCUUUUCAGUUUUUCUAAAGGUACUAUUUUUGUCCAAUUCCCCAAACACUUUCCUCAUGUUUACUGAAGUGUUACCUAGCAAAAUUGUAUCAUUGAUCCAACACAAUGAUUAGAAUCCCAGUCGUUGAAUUACAGUAGACAAGACCAUAUUUCACAUUUUGUAUAGCCCAACCAAUAAUACAUAUGGACCGUGGUGAUGAUUUUCAAUAUAUUGUGUGCAAUAGUUAAAUAGAUGUAUUCGUGCCAUUUAUCUCAUUGAACUGUAAGAGCUGGUCAUGGUGGAAGAGUAAUCAGUGUUGUGUAGACAACAUCACUGUAAUUUUCUCAGCCAAAUAAAAGAUUAGCUUGCGGUCCAUGGAAAAACCCCAACAUUCAGUUGAGCUGUACAUCUUUUGCCGCCCCUUCUAUUGGUUCUGGUUGAGCUUUGUGUGUUAAUAUUUAUUUGACUGCAUUUUAUCCUUUAGUCCUUCCUCUUAGUGUAUAGUGAUCCCUUAUUGUGUUAGUUUCUUAACUAGAAGGGUAGUUUUGAUUCAGACCAUUCCAUAAUAAAAUGUGUAUAUAGCCUGAAGGUAGGAUUUCAGCUUCAGACUGUUAAAAUACGUCUAACGUGUCAUGUACACGUAUUAUGUAUGUAUGUAACUUGUAUGCUGAUCAUAUAUAUAUAGAAGGACGUGGAGAGGCAUUGCCCCACGAAAAACCCUAAACCUAUUCUCAAACUUGGUAUCAGAGCCUACCUAGCCGCCGCCGCCUCUCCUCCCUCCGCCGCCGCUAGCCUCUCAUCGCGGCCGCCGCGAUGUCCAAGUCGCCCGCCACCGAUCAGUCCUCCUCAUCGGGCGCUGCGAUGACCGCGUCCUCCGCCCUCGCCCUCACCGUGUCCGCCCCCGUUAUCGCGCCACCAUCGGCAUCGGCUCCCGCUCCUGUCCUUCCACCCAUCGCGGUCUCUCUCGACCGCAGUAACUUCAUGCUGUGGAGGGCUCUCGCCCUCCCCAACUUCGCCGGCGUACGCCUCCACGGGUUCCUCGAUGGCUCGGCCAAGGCGCCGGAGCCGACCGUGACGACAGGCACCGGUGACACGGCUCGUACCAUCACCAACCCUGAAUACGAGCAGUGGUGGACUCUUGAUCAAAAGGUCCUCGGGCAUCUCCUCGGCUCCAUGAGCGUGGAGAUAUCCGCGCAGCUGAUCGGCUGCAGGACGGCGGCUGCUGCAUGGGCUGCCGUGCACACCAUGUUCGCCGCCGAGAACAGCGCCGGCGUGCGCAACCUUCGGCGCCAGAUCCAGGCGCUACGCAAAGGAGAUAGACCUGCCGGCGAGUACAUGCAGAAGGUUAAAUCUCUCGCCGACUCGAUGGACGCCGCCGGUUCUCCUCUUCACGAUGACGAGAUCAUCGACUACAUGCUGACCGGGCUCGGCUCAGCGUUCAACCCCAUCGCUGCUUCGAUGAACUUCGCCGGCGUGCAAGUCACGUUUCUGGCGUUCUACUCCAGCGUCCUCCACUACGAGGCCCUCCAGCAGCAGCAAUCGGAAGUUGAGGACUGGCAGUCCUCCGCAAACGCCGCCUCCCGGCCGGCCUACCACGAUCACGCCGGUCGUGUGCCCGAUUCCGGACGCCCAAGUGGCGGCCGCUCCUCCGCCGCCUCUCUUCCGCCUGGAUCGGCAAGCUACGGCCCCGCCCAGGGCGGUGCCCCUGGCCAUAACAACGGCAACACCGGCGGCAACGGCCGCAAUGGAGGAGGCAAUGGGGGUGGCCGCCGUCGCUGGCGCCCUAGGUGCCCGAUAUGUAAGAACUGACCGCGACGGACUGUCGCAUGAGGCGACGGACUGUCGCGGCCGCUAUGACCGCGACCACCGCGCCUCCAACUCCGCCUCCACGCAUGAACCGCCGCACUGGAUCCUGGACACCGGUGCGACGGAUCACCUGACGAGUGAUCUUGACCGUCUUCACUUCCAUGAGCGCUACGGCGGGAAGGAUCAAGUGCAAGUGGUGAAUGGUGCAGGUUUGUCUAUUUCGCAUAUUGGUCAUUCCACUAUACCCGGUUCAUCUCUGCGUUUACGCAAUAUUCUUCGUCUUCCACAUAUACAUCAACAACUAUUGUCCGUUUAUCGACUUGUUCUUGAUAAUGAUGUUUUUGUAGAAUUUCACCGUUUCUUUUUCCUUGUUAAGGACAUAGCCACGAAGAAAAUUCUUCUUCGCGGUAGAAGUCGUGGCGGCCUCUACCCCAUCCCGUUUGGUCGCGCGUCGUCCUCCUCCACUCGCCAAGCGUCUCUCAGUGUCAAGACCACUUCGUCCCAGUGGCAUCAGCGUCUCGGUCAUCCCUCCAAUAAAAUUGUUCAAUACAUUGUUAAGAGCAAUGAUUUAGUGUGUUCUUCUGAACGUCAUUUUUCAGUGUGUGAUGGUUGUCAGCAUGCUAAGAGUCGACAAUUACCAUAUACUUUAUCCACUCAUGUUUCUACUAUGCCUCUUGAGUUAAUUCAUUCUGAUGUUUGGGGGCCUGCUCUUGCCUCUUCCGGAGGCUAUAAGUAUUAUGUGAGCUUUGUCGAUGAUUAUUCCUGUUUCACUUGGAUAUAUCUUCUUAAGCACAAGUCUGACGUUGAGCAAGUAUUUUAUGCUUUUCAGGCUCAUGUUGAGCGUCUUCUCCGCACUAAAAUCAUAUCCGUUCAGUCAGACUGGGGUGGUGAGUACCACAAAUUACAUCGCUAUUUCCAACGCACUAGGAUCUCUCAUCGUGUGUCCUGCCCACACACCUCUCAGCAAAACGGGAUUGCUGAACGCAAACACCGUCAUCUUGUGGAAAUAGGUCUGGCCUUAUUGGCUCAUUUGUCUCUCCCUUUACGGUAUUGGGACGAAGCUUUCCUUGCUGCAUGUUACUUGAUUAAUCGCAUGCCUACACCUGUUCUCCAACAAGAUACACCCGUGUACCGCCUUCUUAAAGUCAAACCCGAUUACACCUUUCUCCGCACCUUUGGGUGCGCCUGCUGGCCUAGCUUGCGCAAAUAUAACACUCACAAACUUGUUUUCCGGUCCACUAUGUGUGUGUUCUUAGGUUAUAGCCAGCUGCAUAAGGGGUACAAAUGUCUCGACCGCUCCACGGGUCGUAUCUACAUCUCCCGUGAUGUUGUGUUUGAUGAGUCUGUGUUUCCAUAUGCCACACCUAGGGUCACCGUCGAUAUAUCCUCCUUGGCUGAUGGUCUCUCGUUUCCUUUCAAUGAGCCGGUUACGGGUGACCAUAUGCGUAAAUACGACUUAUCCUACCUGUCUACUGAUCCGCCUGUUCCAGGCCAUAUUGCUUCUGUGCAGGCAUACCAUGACGCCGCUCCUCCCUCCUCGGCGAUCGACGUGCAUGGCGCAUGCACGUCGCCCGGCUCGUCGGCUGCCUCGUCGCCCGGCCCAUCUUCCGCGACGCCCCCGCCCUCUGCAGGCCGCUCGGCUGGUCAGCCCGCUGCGGACGCGCCGACCUCCCCGGUGAUCGACGUGCAUGGCACAUGCACGUCCCCAGCCCAGCGAUCGCGCUGGCCUCCCCUGGCCCAUCAUCAGCGCCAGCGCCGGCCACUUCAUCGCCUGUUGCCACGUCGUUCUCAAUGCAGGAGGCUGCUGCUCCCUCCUCGCCGUCCGAUCAGCUCGCGUCGCCUUCUGUUGAGGGCAGCCCUGUCCCCUCAACCGCGAUGCCUCCAGCUGCUCCAGGCCACACCAUGGUCACGCGCACUCGCGAUCAUACUCGUCGUGCGCUUGUUCCCACUGAUGGAACUGUCCGCUACGACCCUCGCCGCCGUGCUUUUCAUGCUAUGCCCGUCUCUCAUCGCGAUGCCCUCCGUGAGCAUGCUUGGCGCACCGCCAUGAUGGAUGAGCUGGACGCUCUGCGUCGCAACAGGACUUGGGUUCUUGUGCCUCGUCCGCGUGAUGUUAAUGUCGUUGGGAGCAAGUGGAUUUUCAAGACCAAGCAUCAUCUGGAUGGCUCCAUUGACAAGCAUAAAGCUCGUCUGGUCGCGCGUGGUUUCACCCAACGGCUUGGCAUUGACUAUGGUGAUACGUUCAGUCCGGUUGUCAAGCUAGCCACCGUUCGCCUGGUUCUUGCUCUAGCUGUGUCUCGCGGAUGGAUUCUUCGUCAGAUUGAUGUCAGCAACACUUUCCUUCAUGGUUACUUGUUUGAGGAUGUCUACAUGCAGCAGCCACCAGGCUUUGAGGACGCUCGGUAUCCCUCUCAUGUGUGCAAGUUGCAGCGGGCUCUCUAUGGACUCAAACAGUCCCCUCGCGCAUGGUAUGCUCGGCUCAGUUCUCGUCUUCUCCAGUUGGGGUUUGUUCCCUCUCGCGCCAACGCCUCUCUAUUUUUCUUCCGCCAUCAGGAUGUUCAGAUAUACAUGCUUGUCUACGUGGAUGAUAUUGUUAUUGCUGGCUCUUCUCCACGUGCAGUUGACGGUCUUGUUCAUUCACUUGCGGCCACCUUUCCUAUUAAGGACCUUGGGCCGUUGGAGUACUUUCUUGGCUUGGAAGCGUCGUACAAUUCAGGGGGUAUGACCUUGACACAACGGAAGUAUGCCUUGGAUCUUUUACACCGUGUGAACAUGGAGAAUUGUAAGUCCACUUCCAUACCGUUGUCUACCUCCGACCAGCUUGCACGGGUGUCUGGACAGCCUCUCGAUGCCGAUGAUUCUUUCCGGUAUCGCAGUGUCGUUGGUGGAUUGCAGUAUUUGACUCUCACUCGCCCAGACAUUUCAUUUGCAGUGAACAAGGUAUGCCAGUUUCUCUCACAGCCCACUGAUGUUCAUUGGGAAGCUGUUAAGCGCAUCCUGCGCUAUGUAAAGGGAACAUUGCAAACUGGACUGAAGUUUCGGAAGGCUGUCUCCAACAACAUUAGUAUUUUCACUAACGCAGACUGGGCCAGGUGUCCUGAUGAUCGACGAUCCACUGGAGGCUUUGCCAUCUUUGUUGGCCCAAAUCUCAUCUCCUGGAGCUCUAAGAAGCAACCGACGGUUUCGAGAUCUAGUACGGAGGCUGAGUACAAGGCUCUGGCAAAUGGAGCUGCUGAGGCCAUUUGGGUAGAAUCACUACUCAAGGAGCUUGGUGGUUCCCAGCAGCGUGUUCCUGUUCUAUGGUGUGAUAAUUUAGGAGCCACAUAUCUGACUGCCAACCCAGUUUUUCAUGCACGCACCAAGCACAUUGAGAUUGAUUUCCACUUUGUGCGUGAGCGUGUUGCUUCUGGAGCUCUUGAUGUCAGGUUCAUUUCUUCUAAUGAUCAACUGGCUGACGUGUUUACCAAACCAGCCACUCGACAGAUGCUAGACCGUUUUAGUACCAAUCUAAACCUUGUACAGAGUAGAAGUUCAGAUUGAGGGGGUAUGUUAAAAUAGGUCUAGCGUGUCAUGUACACGUAUUAUGUACAUAUGUAACUUGUAUGCUGAUCAUAUAUAUAUAGAAGGACGUGGAGAGGCAUUGCCCCACGGAAAACCCUAAACCUAUUCUCAAACUCAGACUGUCAUUAAGUUUGCGUCAAAUUUAUUGUUUCAUUUUGGAACAGUGUACUUUCAUGAGUAUUUUUCUAACGAGUACAUAUAAUACUUGAACAGAUAAUCUUACAAAAUGGAAGUACCGAGGAAUUAAUAUAUAGAAGUUACGACCGUUGUUUAGGGUGAUCUCUGAAGAUGGAUUGCAGGUAAGCAAAUUAAUAAUUUAGUACUGAUCUUGUUUCUGUUGACACUUCAUUUUACUCAAUCUUUCGUAUUAACCAUAAGCUUACAGGAUACCAUGUUGGAAUCAUGUUCUCCUUUGAUUUGUGUUCUCUUUGAUUUAUGUUGGUUGUUAUGGAAUCAUGAUUUUUUCUUUUUAAUUUUUACACUUUUUAAAGCAUAGUGAAUUUUGUGAUUGUAAGAUUUUUGUGGUGUUGCCAUGAAACUAGAAUAAUUUACUGAAAUUGUUCGGUAGUGCAGUUUUAUGGUAUUCAGUGGCUUAGCCUUCAGUUAAAUCAUACAUUAUGUAAACAAUAAACAUAGAACUUUUGAAUUUUUGGAUAGGUGGAAAACUCUGUGCCCUACAUCCCACACACAGGGUGCUAAAAAAUGUCCUCUCCCCGCUGCACCUCUCCUCUUCUUUGCUCACUCCUCUUGGUAACUCUAAGAAGAUUUUAAUCUGUUUUGUUUAUAUGCACAUACGGUCUUUGUGAUUAGGGGUCAAAUGUUUGGUUAACUUAUGGACUGAUUGGAAUGAUUAGAAAAAUACGAAUCACAUCACAGGAAGCCGUAAUAUACAGUUUUACCUUCAGCUUAAAUAAAUACACAUUGUUCAGUUCAUAUUUGACUCCAAUAGUUGUACUUCCAUAUAACAGACUUGUCCAAGUUAAACCACAAGAAUGUCAUGGGCUUGCUUGGCUACCACGGAGAAGGGCAUUCUUUCACCGGCGCUGUCGAUUGCUAGCAAACUGUCGAUUGUGUCGUUGAUUGAUAUGCAGACUUGCUGUUUUUCGUUCAGUUUAAGGGCUCUCUAGGCUUAAGAUCUUUCUAGGAUAAUUGCGUCAUUGAAUCUAAAGGUAUAUGAUCGGUUUCUCAGCUCAUGCAUCGAUAUGCAUUUGUUUCUUGCCUGACUUGUCCUACAUUUGUGAGGUUGUUGAGGAAGUUCAGUUCUUGCAGGAGGCGCAAAACUUGAGUUGCCUACAUAUGAGUUUGCCAGUUCGCCGAAACUUAGAAUAAAGAAGGGAACUUUCUCAGUUUUGUUGUUUUUGCUCUUCUCAGAUUUUAGGCUGGGUGUAUUAACAUAUAUGCCACACACUAAAUUUAGAUCUCAGUGCAAGUUUAAAUAGGGAUGAAUCACUGUGCCAUGUUGAAAAAUUAGAACUACAGAGAAGAAAGGAAAUUAUUAAAGAAGGGAUAUAGUUGAUUAGGUUGUUGUGGUGUUUCUUUGUAAAUAACAACAUUCUAACUUGCUAAUCUAGGUAUGUGGGAUAUAGGAGAUACAAGGAGAGAUAUUUCAGUUGCAAUCGAGCUUUAUUUCAAAGUGAAACAUGGUAGACAUGCAUAGCAUGCUGGUGUUUUACUCUAUGCUUCUGGGCCGCCAUGGUGUCAAUUUUGAACUUGCAAAACGAACUGUAAAAUAUUUUAAUGCCUUGGGGCAUGAAGUUCUCUUUACCUGCUCUGACUGCUUCAUCUCUGUUUAUGUAGCAGGUUCUACGAUCUCCUGUGUUGCUGCAUCUUGGUCUUCUGUUGCUUGAGGUUUGCUUCCUUUUUUCUAGACACAUGCGUAUUCUUUCUAGCUACAUCCAUGAUUUCCUUUUGCUCACGGAAUAAUAGUUUAGUUAUAUUGAUU
rnacentral:lncRNA from 1 species